GCGCCUGUCGUAUACCGGUAUUACCCCAGCUUCCCAAGCUGGAGAAGUGGGUUCGACUCCCAUCAGGCGCU
rnacentral:tRNA from 1 species